GAUGAACGCUGGCGGCGUGCCUAACACAUGCAAGUCGAGCGAACAGACGAGGAGCUUGCUCCUCUGACGUUAGCGGCGGACGGGUGAGUAACACGUGGAUAACCUACCUAUAAGACUGGGAUAACUUCGGGAAACCGGAGCUAAUACCGGAUAAUAUAUUGAACCGCAUGGUUCAAUAGUGAAAGACGGUUUUGCUGUCACUUAUAGAUGGAUCCGCGCCGCAUUAGCUAGUUGGUAAGGUAACGGCUUACCAAGGCAACGAUGCGUAGCCGACCUGAGAGGGUGGUCGGCCACACUGGAACUGAGACAGGGUCCAGACUCCUACGGGAGGCAGCAGUAGGGAAUCUUCCGCAAUGGGCGAGAGCCUGACGGAGCAACGCCGCGUGAGUGAUGAAGGUCUUCGGAUCGUAAAACUCUGUUAUUAGGGGGAAACAAAUGUGUAAGUAACUAUGCACGUCUUGACGGUACCUGGUCAAAAAGCCACGGCUAACUACGUG
rnacentral:rRNA from 1 species